AACUGAGUUACAUUUUGAAAUAGGAGACAAGGUCUUCCUAAAGGUAUCUCCUACCAAGGGGAUAACUAGGUUUGGUGUCAAGGGAAAACUUAGGCCCCGAUUUGUAGGACCUUAUGAGAUUUUGGAGAGAAUAGGCCCAGUAGCCUAUAGGUUGGCGUUACCGCCAAGCUUUGGAAACGUUCACAAUGUUUUCCACGUAUCACAACUCAGAAAAUACGUUUUCGAUCCAAAGCACAUAAUCCACCAAGAAGAGAUCAUCAUUUGCCCAGACUUGAGCUAUGAAGAGAGACCAGAGGUCAUUCUAGAUCGAAAAGUACAACAACUCAGGAAUAAGGCAAUCACAUCAGUGAAAGUCUUAUGGAGACACCACGGACAAGAGGAAGCCACGUGGGAGCUUGAAGACAAAAUGAAGGAGAAAUACCCCGAACUGUUUUAGAAGAAAUAUGCAAAUUUCGGGACGAAAUUUUUGUUAAGAGGGGUAGUAUGUAGUGACCCGCUCUUUUAUAUAUUUUAAAUCCAGUAAUGAGUGUUUAUUUUUGUUCAUCAGUGAAUGAAAACGGUUUUUAUCCUAAUAUGAAUUCAGCUUAUGAUCCUGAAUUUAUAUUGUUAAAGCAGUUAAUGAUAUUAUUUCAGAGUUAUAACUGACUUAGCAAAGUCACGUUAUUUAUUUAAGCGAGAUGAAAUUUGAUUUUAUUUUUACUCAGAUCGUGAAUUAUUUCCGACUCAGGAAGUUAAUUAAAUCUGCGGAUUUAAUUUAGAUAUCAGAACAACGAACGAAUUAAAUCUACGGAUUUAAUUUAGAUUCAUUUUAUAAUUUAUCGGUUUUAGUGAGAAAUCACAUGUCGAAAUACGAGAUUUAUUUAAAUAAACAGUAUCAAGCAUAUACGAGCACACGAUCCAUCUUACAGUUACAGAAUCACCGAGACAGAGAAAAUACAUCAAUAAUUCUCCUCUACAUUUUUUUUUCCUUUCUUUUUCUUCUCUUUUUCUUUCCAUUAAUUUUGUUCCCCACUCCAUCAACUCCACUACCCUAUGCUCCCCACCAUCUCCACUACCUUUGCUCCCCAUCAACUCCAACACUUCACCCAUUCCUUCCAUUUCGCACCAGCAAUCACAAAGAGAAGGAAGACUUGGCUUAACUACUUUGCCAAGAUUUCAAGCUGCUCCAGUCCAGUAGUACCCCAACACUCGAAGCUAGAGUUUAUUGGGUGAAAAACCGUGCAUGAGGUCGAGCGCAAGAAUAAGAGCUCGUCAAGGAGUCACUAAUAUGUAGCAAAGCUUUGCUAUCAGGUUGAGCAACUGCCGAUGGUGAUGAAGUGACGAGCGGGACUCUUUUGUCUUAUUAUGUAUUAAUGAACUUUAGGGUUACAUGUCUUCAUACAUGUAAUCAGAACCUUAUUCCGCUGCGUACUCAGAAGUUUUAUGUUAUUUUGGAUAAGUCGGAGUUAUCCGAACUUGUUAGUUAUUUGAGUCUAUACGACAAAAACUCUGUUAUAUUAUAGAUAUCCAUGUUGUUAACAAUGAUGAAAUACGAUCCUUUCUUGUUUGAUUA